GGCAAUGACAUGGGGUGCCUCAUGAGGAUCCGUUCGCACCAAGACGCUGCGCACGGAGGACACCGAGGCUGAGAGAACACCCAUCGAACCUGAUCUGGGCCAUACUAGCGAAGGGAUCGUCAUGGUUGACUUCG
rnacentral:ncRNA from 1 species